rnacentral:rRNA from 1 species
UACGUAGGGUCCGAGCGUUGUCCGGAAUUAUUGGGCGUAAAGGGCUCGUAGGCGGUCCGUCGCGUCGGGAGUGAAAACUUGGGGCUUAACCCUGAGCUUGCGGUCGAUACGGGCAUGACUGGAGUUCGGCAGGGGAGACUGGAAUUCCUGGUGUAGCGGUGAAAUGCGCAGAUAUCAGGAGGAACACCAGUGGCGAAGGCGGGUCUCUGGGCCGAUACUGACGCUGAGGAGCGAAAGCGUGGGGAGCGAACAGG